CUAGGCUGCCUGAGAAGAGGGGAAUUCCGACUCCUGUGAAUGGAAGAGCUGCAUGUUAAAGGGCUUUUUGUAUUUCUAUUUGUGCAGGCCUCUGCCAGCAACCUGCAUUAAAGAUCAACCAGCAACUC